UCAGAUUGAACGCUGGCGGCAUGCUUUACACAUGCAAGUCGAACGGCAGCGCGGGCUUCGGCCUGGCGGCGAGUGGCGAACGGGUGAGUAAUAUAUCGGAACGUACCCAAGAGUGGGGGAUAACGUAGCGAAAGUUACGCUAAUACCGCAUACGAUCUAAGGAUGAAAGCAGGGGANCGCAAGGCCUUGUGCUCCUGGAGCGGCCGAUAUCUGAUUAGCUAGUUGGUGAGGUAAAGGCUCACCAAGGCAACGAUCAGUAGCUGGUCUGAGAGGACGACCAGCCACACUGGAANUGAGACACGGUCCAGACUCCUACGGGAGGCAGCAGUGGGGAAUUUUGGACAAUGGGGGCAACCCUGAUCCAGCAAUGCCGCGUGAGUGAAGAAGGCCUUCGGGUUGUAAAGCUCUUUUGUCAGGGAAGAAAAGGUCGUGGCUAAUAUCCACGGCUGCUGA
rnacentral:rRNA from 1 species